GAAUACUAAACCCAGCAGCAGCCAUCGCUUAUCGUGCAAAUUUGCUGCAUCGCAAGCUGCGUACAACCGCAAUCGAUCGUAGACUCGACUCGGGCGCUCUUGGAAAUUCGACAUUUACGUGCAGAAUCGAAGAAAUCUCGUUUUUUUUGGGUGGGAAUUUCGCCCGAGGAUUUGCGCGUUUGGUUUUGUUGAACUCGGUUUUUUCGGUAGAGCGUGUGAGGUAGUUUGUUUUACCGCGAUUCACAACAUUUGGUACGAUGUCGGCGGCUCGUAAGCGCACCUUGUUGAAGGUCAUCAUCCUCGGCGAUAGCGGGGUUGGAAAGACAUCGCUGAUAAACCAAUAUGUUAAUAACAAGUUCAGCAAUCAACACAAGGCCACUAUUGGAGCUGAUUUCCUAACUAAAGAAGUAUAAGUUGAAGACAGACUUGUUACAAUGCAGAUUUGGGAUACGGCUGGACAAGAACGGCUUCAGGGUCUCGGUGUUGCCUUCUACAGAGGUGCAGAUUGUUGUGUUCUUGUUUACGAUGUUUAUGUCAUGAAGUCAUUCGAUAACCUUGACUACUGGAGGGAUGAGUUUGUGAUCCAGGCAGCCCCAUCCGAUCAGGAGUACUUCCCCUUUGUAGUACUUGGAAAUAAAGUGGACGUGGAUGGUGGCAAUAGUCGAGUGGUCUCCGAGAAGAAGGCCAAAGCAUGGUGUGCAGCGAAAGGAGGCAUCCCCUACUUUGAGUCAUCAGCCAAGGAAGACUUCAACGUGGAUGCUGCAUUCCAGUGUAUUGCCAAGAACGCAUUGAAGAACGAGACGGAGGAGGAAAUCUACCUGCCUGAUACGAUCGACGUGAACGCCAGCAGGCCACAGAAAACUUCCGGAUGCGAGUGUUAAGAGUAGCGGAGUUGCUGCGAUGGGAAAUGCCAGGGUCUGCCAGGCAGAUAGAGGGUUGGUUGAUUUGAAGACAUCCAUGGGGGAGAGCAAUGCCUGCGUGGUGAUUGAACAUGAAUCUAUCACUGUUGGAGGAGAAGGUGUGUCAGACUACUGGAGCGCAAGGUGUGUUUGACGGCAAUGCCACGUCGACGUCGCAGCUCAUUGACAAUAGUUGGUACAUUGUGGAGAUUUGUUGUGGGGCUAUAUCUAUUGGUAUCAUCGUCAAAUGGGACUGUUGAUGGAUGGUCCAAUUCGACUAGUAGCGGGUUAGUGAAGUGGUAUGCAAGGUAUAUUAUCAUUAAAAGGAGCAUGAAUACAAAUGCACGCAGUUUGUGUAUCCAGCUCAGAUGGGCUUAGGUUGUGGGCUGCGGGAUAUGGGUUCUUACAACCCUCAAGCAUUCCUCUUGUUGUAUGAAAUUACGCUGAAUGAGGGCAGAAAGAGGAGUGGGUUGGUAAAUGUGUGCAACAAGGAUUCAGGGGUUUCUGGAAAUGUUUUAGAUGGACAUUUUGCAUGUUCGUUCACACGCAUUUUAUAAUUGAGUAUUGACGUUUCAAAUUUCCAGGUA